UACGUAGGGGGCUAGCGUUGUCCGGAAUCAUUGGGCGUAAAGAGCGCGUAGGCGGCCAGAUAAGUCCGGUGUGAAAGUCACAGGCUCAACCUGUGAAUGCCGCUGGAAACUGUCUGGCUAGAGUCCGGAAGGGGCGAGUGGAAUUCCUGGUGUAGCGGUGAAAUGCGCAGAUAUCAGGAGGAACACCAAUGGCGAAGGCAGCUCGCUGGGACGGUACUGACGCUGAGGCGCGAAGCGUGGGGAGCAAAC
rnacentral:rRNA from 1 species